CCAGGCUAGGAGGAGCAGAGGCAGCAGCAGCCAGGCAGCAGGGCCAGGCUGGGGACAGCAGCAAGACCCCAUCCCACCUCACUGGCCCCUUCCCUCCGGCACGGACAAGCAGAAACGCCGUUUCGCUGUGAAACCCCUUCCCAUGGAGUCAUGGGCCUACUGUCAGAAGCCUCAGUGAACUCACUGCAAGCAAGACAGGCCAAGGAGAAAGUGAUGGGGAUCACUCAGAAAAAGCAAAGAGCAGCCUGCAAUCAUUUCUAGAUUUUGGCUCUGGCAGCAUCACAACAGGAAGCAUGUUUGUGUGUUUACAUGACUGUUAGCUGUGUUUUUCCCUCAGUGUAUUUGCAGCAAUAUUUGUCAUGAGGUAUUCGGGAAAAAUGAAAGGCACAUAAUGCCUAGAGUUGUUUACCACAUGACAGGAUUGUUUUUUCCCUUUGUCGGACUGAUUUUCCUUCACAGGAGCAAGAGAAAUUUAGUGCUGGAUGCCCUCCUCCAGGGUUAUCAUUUCCCACGGGACCACAAGGCCUCAGUGAUGCCAAUCAGCACUUAGCACUGCCUGGGAGGCUCUACCCUGUGCUCCCAUUACCCAGGGCUGGACUGGGCUAGGAGUCCUCAAGAAGCUUUUCACACAUUGCCUCUUAGGGUCUGAGGGUGGGACAUGGUUGCAGAUUCCCACCCAGCUCUGGGUCAGUGGAGACAAGCGUCAUGCACCAAAUGAGGGGCUGUCUGUGUGCUGGAUAGCACAGAGCAGGAGGGGAGGCUAAGCCAUCUCUGGCUGGGAUAACAGCCUCUUCCUCCUUGCCUCUGCAGAGAAAAAAGCAUCCUUGCCACAUAUUUGUCUGCCUCACCUGAAAUGCCAAAGCUGGAAUGGGCCUCCAAGAGAAACCCAUUCUCUCUCCAAGGCAAGACUGCAGGCUACUGAGGGGGCAGUAUGUGCAGGAAACUGCUCUGCUUCUCCUGGUAACGUAUGUGCUUUGCUGUGGACAAACAGGAGACUCUGUUCAGCAGCGUUUUUUAAUCUGACGCGGGGGGUUUCAGUGCCAGCUGCCUCAGGGAGGAGGUGUAGGGAAUUCUCAUGGAAAGGAGAGGGAGAAAUGCCUCUGAGCAUCACAAAGACCCCAAGUGGCUCCCUGACCAUCAUUUUGGCUAGCCUAAUACCUUAUGGGCAUGGGGAGGACUUGCAAUGGCUAAACAGGACAAUUUUCCUGCAUUACUAGGGUCUGGGAGAUCAAAGAGGAAAGGGGCAGGGCAUGUCUGUCUGCUACCUGCUUUGACAGGUGGCGGGUGGCACAAAGCCUCUCUGGCUGUUAACCCCCUCAUAUCCUGCCAGAGAGGUGCAGAGGCCAGGGCAUUUCCAAAAAGCAACCUCCCAAAAGCAAGCAUCGAAGAGAUGGGGAGCUGGGGCAAAAAGGGACUGGUUUUGCACUCUCUUGGAUGGAGUUUUCCGUAUCACAUUUAACAUAGCAGGGAAUUGGUUACUCUUCAAUUCUCUGGUCUGCAUGACAGAGGAGAGAUGCUAGGAAGGGAGAGGAAGGAAAUUACAUAUGACUGGGCAGAACGACCAGAAAAGGGACCCUCCCAAUGGAUCCUCUGGUGGUAGUAGCACUGGGUGAAUACGGUGGGCUUGUUCAACAGGGCUGAGGUGGCUCUGGGGUGAUCUUCCUCUCCGCCAACCUUCUGGCUACAGGGCGACUCCUGGGAAGUCAGGGGAAGGGUUAAGUCGGGAAGGCUUCAGUCUGCUGCCUUGGCCCCUGUAAUUCCUCCAGAGAGUAGGAAUGGGAGAACAAGGAGCCCAUUCUGUUCUCAAGAAUUAAUAGCAAAGAGUCAUCUGGGGUGUCAUUCAAGCCCUGAUCAGCUCCCGGAGGAAUGCGAGGGAGAGCGAGUGAGCGAGCGAGUGAGCGAGCACGGCCCGAGGCUGAGACACCAAAGCCAGGGCAGAAACAGUUCGGCUGGUAACCAGAGUGACCAGCCAGCAUUCAGGCUGUGGGGCAAUCUUCCCUUUAACCCCAACCUCUGCGUCCCCUCUGCCCCAUGCAGGGGCUCGCCUCAACAUUCAGCUCAGAAAGCUCCAACCAGCUUGUAAGUGGAGGGGCAUUUUUUAGACCUUUUGUCCCUCAGUAUUCAUCUGUCUCAUCUUGAGAAGGAAAGAUGUCCCAGCCUGCACACCACAACAGCCCUCCCUCCUCCAUGCUAAGAGGGCUGGGCCAGGCUGUCAGACACCAGCACAACCCCACUGCCUCCACGCUGGACUUGAACUUCAACAGACCCCUCUCCAUGGCUUACCCAUCACUCUGAACCUGAGAUGGCAGGUGGAAGGAUUGUUUUUUUUUCCUCCCAAGCAAGCUCACACAUGGAGAGGGGUCUCUGGGGAAUCUGUAAGAGCAGUCAGGGAUAUGGGGUAGCUCAGGGGACUGCAAAGUUCACUGCUGAACCGUUGCUGCUACAUCAUCUGUCCCAAAAUGGCUUUGGUCAUUGCAAUUUCUGGAACAAAAGUUCAGACCAGCAAAUUAGCAUAUCAGUGCUUCAUGACAUUGCUUCACAACCUCACAAUGUGGCUUUAUAAUGCUGCAUGGUGACACUACAGUGUUGCCUGUAGUGGCAAUCCACACUCAUGAGACAAGGAGAGAUUUUGGUCACAUUUCUACUGGCCUGAAAAGAGGACCUUGGAGUGGUAUGUCCUGCUCUGUGGCCCACCUGCCUCCACUCUACCUGGCUGCACUGCAGGUGGCUUGCAUGACCAUGCCUGGUGGUACAAGUAUCCUAGGGUUUUGGUGCUGCCUUCUUGCAGGAUCAUCAUAUGGACUAUGGAGUCUUCAGGGCAACCCUUCCGGCCAACCCUAGGUGUGCACACUGCCACAGCACCAACCGUUGUGGGCUCAGCACCACCACACUAGUAGCGAGCACAGGUUGCCACCUGGUAGAUGGUGACCUGUGUGAAAUGCAAUUAUCCUGUCAGUUUGCCUGGGCUUUUCUGAUUCAGUUUUCCAUCCUCCGGUCUGACCUGCUGAGUGACAGCCCACAGGAAAUCCUGCAUCAAGUACUCUCCCAGCCCUGUGCUUAGGAAGCCCCAGACUGUGGUAUAUCUGAGCCCCAGUAACCAACAUCCCACUUAAUCUUGUCCCCCAAAAUACACAUUUCACAGAAAUACAGACCAAAAGUGAUGUUAAUGUGACUUCACAUGGGCUGCCUUAGCAGUAAGUGUCUAGCUGGCUGGGGCUGGGAGGAGGGAUGGAAACUUUUGCUCUCACCCACCAAAGGGCUUUGUGAAGCCAUAGACUGUAGUCGUGCUGGAGUGCAUGAGCUGCUUUUGCUGGCCCACAGUCAGUGGCCAAAAUGCAUCUCACCAAAGCUUCUCGGGUGCCCCCCUCCUUCCUGAAUGCACCAGAUCAGUGUGAAACCAGGUUUAAGCAUUAGCUCUGCAUCUCAGCAUCCUGCAAGGAUGUGCGGUGCCUCCAGCACAGACUCCUCCGCCCCCUCCCCACUCCCCAUACCACUACCACAAUGAGCACCCCUUGUCGUAGAGGGGUUAAUAAAUGAUGCAAGAAAGGAGCCCUUUAA